GGAGACGGCCAUAGUAGGUUGGAAACACCUGUUCCCAUUCCGAACACAGAAGUUAAGCCUCCUACGCCGUUUGUGUUAGUGUCCGAAAAGACGCGAAGCAAUGGUGCUGUCUCUC
rnacentral:rRNA from 1 species